UACGUAGGUGGCAAGCGUUGUCCGGAAUUAUUGGGCGUAAAGCGCGCGCAGGCGGUUCUUUAAGUCUGAUGUGAAAUCUCGCGGCUCAACCGCGAGUCUGCAUUGGAAACUGGGGAACUUGAGUACAGAAGAGGAGAGCGGAAUUCCACGUGUAGCGGUGAAAUGCGUAGAGAUGUGGAGGAACACCAGUGGCGAAGGCGGCUCUCUGGUCUGUAACUGACGCUGAGGCGCGAAAGCGUGGGGAGCGAACAGG
rnacentral:misc_RNA from 1 species